CCUACGGGCGGCAGCAGUGGGGAAUAUUGCUCAAUGGGGGAAACCCUGAUGCAGCGACGCCGCGUGAGUGAAGACGUAUCUCCGUAUGUAAAGCUUCAUUAGUAGGGAAGCAAAUGACGUUACCUGUUUAAGAAGCCCCGGCAAACGACGGGCCAGCAGCCGCGGCAAUAUGUAGGGGGCCCGCGUUAUCCGGAUUUACGGGGUGUAAAGGGGGAGUAGUCGGCAGCACAAGUCUGGAGUGAAAUACCGGGGCUUAAACCCGGAACUGCUUUGGAAACUGUGCAUCUAGAGUGCGGGAGAGGUAUGUGGAAUGCGUAGUGUAGCGGUGAAAUGCGUAGAUAUUAGGAAGAACACCAGUGGCGAAGGCGGCUUACUGGACUGUAACUGACGUUGAGGCUCGAAAGCGUGGGGAGCGAACAGGAUUAGAUACCCUUGUAGUC
rnacentral:rRNA from 1 species